rnacentral:lncRNA from 1 species
UUUCUUUUCACCUGCAUCAAAGCCAUGGGAAGGCCCCUUCCUUUGUGCAACUUGUCGGAGGAAGAAAGACGCAAUGGAAGGAAAAAGACCUAGUAGACCUACAAUAACUGCUUAAUCUGGUAACCUAGUAUAUGAUGAUAUAUUUUUUGCCUGGCGUGUGGACAUGCUUGGUUCUCAAUAUGCAGUGGUUAUUGCUAUAGAAGUAGUGUGCAAGGAAUUUGUACUGAUACUAGAAGUCAGUAGAUGUUUUGAGAACAGUAAAAGUUUGUGUUAAUUCUUCUUUGUCCCAGCACUUGCUGACCAAGAACGGACAGUCCUGAUGCCUAUGAUUGUAUUAAUUUGAUUACUAACAGCUUGAAUGAUUGUAAGUAACGAAAUGAUGAUUGUGAAAAUAUUGUUUAGUAAAAGUGUCUUCAUUUGUGAUUGAUC